rnacentral:lncRNA from 1 species
CCUGGGAGUGCUAGCUCGCAAAGACACUAUCCAUUGGCUGGUUUGAGAGAAAUAUGAUGGAAAAGAAGAAUAAGGAGACUAUCUCCUUUUCUUCCUGGAUUCACACAUCUGAUCUCCAUAAUAGAGAUCAAGAGAAAAAUCUUUUCUUCUUAAUUUUUUAUACAUAAGAAAGAACAUUUCUCUCUUUCUUUCACGUCCUUAAGAAGAACUUUUCUUCUCUAAUCUUUUAUGAUGAAAAUUAGAUCUAAUCUGAUUUUUCAUACUGAAAAUCAUAUAAAAUCUUGAGAUCUAAAAAAAUCCAAAAGAGGGAUCC